GAUGUAAAAAUUCAUUAAAAUUCUGAGUAGUAUUUGAUAAUGACAUUUACUAUUCAAAUGUCUUGACCAAAUCAUGUGCCAGCAGUCGCGGCAAUACAUGGAAGACUAGUGUUAUUCAUCUUAAAUAGGUUUAAAGGGUACCUAGACGGUUAAAUAGACCUUAAAAAGGGUACAUAUUAACUAGAGUUUAAUGUAAAUUGGGCGGAUAGAACGAGUAGAGUAGAGAUAGAAUUCUUUGAUACACUCUGUAGACUGGUAAAGGCGAAAGCAACCUUUUAUGUAAAAACUGACGUUGAGGGACGAAAGCGACGACAAAUAAACAGGAUUAGUUACCCAAGUAAUGUAGCAGUGAGGAAUAUUGGUCAAUAGUCUAACGACUGAACCAGCAACUAGAAGGAAUGUAAAUUGUAUUUUAUAAUACAAGAUGUAAAAAUUCAUUAAAAUUCUGAGUAGUAUUUGAUAAUGACAUUUACUAUUCAAAUGUCUUGACCAAAUCAUGUGCCAGCAGUCGCGGCAAUACAUGGAAGACUAGUGUUAUUCAUCUUAAAUAGGUUUAAAGGGUACCUAGACGGUUAAAUAGACCUUAAAAAGGGUACAUAUUAACUAGAGUUUAAUGUAAAUUGGGCGGAUAGAACGAGUAGAGUAGAGAUAGAAUUCUUUGAUACACUCUGUAGACUGGUAAAGGCGAAAGCAACCYUUUAUGUAAAWACUGACGUUGAAGGACGAAGGCGACGACAAAUAAACAGGAUUAGUUACCCAAGUAAUGUGUGCUGUAAAUGAUGAAUGUCAUAUGUAAGAUAAAUAUUUUAUGUAUAAAUGAAAGUGUAAGCAUUCCACCUCAAGAGUACAGUGGCAACGCAGGAACUGAAAUCAUUAGACCGUUUCUGAGAACAGUAGUGAAGUAUGUUGUUUAAUUUGAUAAUCCACGGAAAACCUUACCACAAUUUGUAUUUAUAUAAAUAUAUUUAUAUAAACAAGCGUUGCACGGCUGUCUUUAGUUAAUGUCGUGAGAUUAUGGUUAGAUUCAUAAAAUUAACGUAAACCCUUAUUUUAUUUAUAAUAAAAUAGUUUUUCAAUUUUUAUUGAAAAUU
rnacentral:rRNA from 1 species